AAUUUUUCAAAAAAAUUUGCAUAGUGACAGGCCAUUAUCGUUAAGUUACGGCCGUUACAUGCCCGUUUCUAUUACUCACGACCACAAACGCAAACGCUGCAAUGAACGCGAUUUAAAACCAUGGUCCCAGCUUUUGGCAAUGAAGUCAUUUACCCUUAUUGUUUUCAUGCCUUAUAAAAUCCAAUUACAUUUCAGCUCAAUCUGGCAUCAAUAAAUUGCUUUUCCUUUUCCAUUUAAUAUUCUGGAAUGCCUAAAGUCCUAUUUAGUAAAAAAGUUGUACAUGAUAACUUGCUGUCAUUGUCAUGGUAUCAUGGCCAGUUCCUGCAGAGAAGAAAAUAGA
rnacentral:misc_RNA from 1 species